rnacentral:rRNA from 1 species
GUGGGGAAUUUUGGACAAUGGGCGCAAGCCUGAUCCAGCAAUGCCGCGUGCAGGAAGAAGGCCUUCGGGUUGUAAACUGCUUUUGUACGGAACGAAACGGUCCGGGUUAAUACCCUGGGCUAAUGACGGUACCGUAAGAAUAAGCACCGGCUAACUACGUGCCAGCAGCCGCGGUAAUACGUAGGGUGCAAGCGUUAAUCGGAAUUACUGGGCGUAAAGCGUGCGCAGGCGGUUAUAUAAGACAGAUGUGAAAUCCCCGGGCUCAACCUGGUAAUUGCGCUUGUGACUGCAAGGCUGGAGUGCGGCAGAGGGGGAUGGAAUUCCGCGUGUAGCAGUGAAAUGCGUAGAUAUGCGGAGGAACACCGAUGGCGAAGGCAAUCCCCUGGGCCUGCACUGACGCUCAUGCACGAAAGCGUGGGGAGCAAACAGGAUUAGAUACCCUAGUAGUCC